UUUUUUUUUUUUUUUUUAAACAAGAUCAGGAAACCAUAACAAUGACAUUAAUUGUUCAUUCACCUCUAGAUGUUUUUCCCUCAGGGUCUCCCUUUGAUUAAUCCUUUUAUAUACCAGGUUCCUUUCUAUCUGAUUCCUAAAAUAGGUAAAUAUGUCUUAAGUCUAUGUAAAGGAACCUUGAUUUGCAUUUUUUCUCUUUUCUUGCAUAUUACUGUAGACUAGAAUAAACCUUUAACUGGGCACUGUACCAGUCAGCCUAAUGGUGGGAGAAGCCCAUUCUGGUGUUAAUUCAGUCUUGCUUUAUACUAGUACAUGUUCCAAUAUCUUUGUGGGGGCUACAACUAGAUUAUACAGUUGUUAUGGGAACAUAAACUCCCAUAUAGAUAUUUAAGCAUUUGUUUUGUCCAGACUAAAAUACUGCUAUAUAGACAUUCUGAUACUGAUCCAGUAUUUUUCUUCCACCCGUUUUUAGUGGUUUUGCUUGUGUUUGUGUGAGAGAGAACUGGGAAUCAUACAAGAAAGUUCUUGUCUGGGUGGGUGGAUUUUUUUCCCUAGUAUUCUUAUUUAAUUUAUGUCAUCCUAAGUAUAGUAUCUUUAAGUAUGGGUAGAUUGACAUUCUCAUGUUAUUUUUAAUGUAUUUUAUGUAGGAAGAAUUGUCUGAAAUCAAAACAAUACUUUCUGCAACAGUGUGCUUAUUCUCUAAACCUUUUUAAAAAAUAAGAAAAUUUCACUUUCUCAGUUAUUCAAUAAGCAUUAACCUAGCUUCUCCUAUAAACUAGCUACUGUGGUAAGUGCUAGUUGUACUAUACCCAAGGAGUUGUAAUUAUGGUAAAAUGAUAUAGACAGAAUUUAAGCAGAUAGAAAAUUACAAAUUGUAGCAAAUAUUUGAAAGAAAAAUUAUAGGUGUUGUUUGAAGAAAUAAGGGUGGUGAGGUGAAGGCGAUUUGUAUUUGGAAGAUCAGGGAAGUCUUCUUUGAGGAGUGUUAUUUAUAGCAUAACUUGAAAUAUGAAUAGACAUUAGGCAGAGAUUUGAGGACAGAGUUUUUAAACAGACAGGUGGGUAUGUGCAAGAGCUCUGAGGUGGGAAAGGCUAAGUGUAUUAUAGGAAUUGAAGGAAAUCUGGGUAGAAGAAUGAUUCUUAGCAAGGGUUGGAACAUUUUGAAGCAACUGAUUCAUAUAAUAUCUCACAAGUAGGAUGACCAUACAUCUGGGUUGCCAUGGGAAGCCUUGUUGAUCUGACAAAAUGAUUCAUACUGCCCCUAGUAUCAAAAACCCUUCAAUUUGGAGUUCAACUAUAUAGUCACCCUACUUAUAAAUUAGGGUUUUUUUUAAUAUCCUAAGAAAAAUGGGAACCCGUUAAAGAAUUUAAGCAGUGGAAUGACUGGAUUAAAUUAGCUUUUUUAAGAAAAUCAUUCUAGAUGCGAAGUUGUGUAGAGUUGAAAAAUUAAGAUGGAGAUGGGAGACCAGGUAGUCAGCAGUGUGGUAGAUCAGAUGCCAGAUGUUAGUGAUUUGAAUUAGGGGUUUAGCAUUGGAGACAAAGAAAAUUUGUGGACUCAACAUGUGUUUCAAGGGCAGACUCAAGAAGCUCAUACACAACAGGUUUAGACAAAGCACUCCCUUUCUUCAUUUCAGUAGAAAUUCAUAGAGGCAUGCAGUGCCCACACUGAAAUGACAUUUCAGCUGACUUCUGAGGACAUAUAAGGGGCUCUCUUUUAUCAGCAUCCUCUCUCCUGAAUAACCUACAGUAAACUUUUAGAAAGUGUUGCUGUCAAUAGUUGAUCUUGCAAAAUAGUGCAGGGCAUUGGUUGGUUUGGAAUCAGAGGGCCUCGGCCGGAAUUUUAGCUCUGCCACCUGUUGAAAAUAUUAGGGGAGAGUCACUGACCAUCUCUGGAUCCUUGUUUCUAAUAUGAGCAUAAUAACAGUGUCCACCUCAUAGAGUUGUUAUCAAGAUUAAAUGAGCUAAUAUUUAUAAAAAACUUGAAGAAUUUCCAGGUACAUAGUAAUCCUUGUUUUGUUAAAGGAUUAAAUAAUCCUUUGUUAAAUAAUUAAAAAUGGAUUGUCUUGUGCUUUGUAGUAUAGUUUGAUCAGAGGGUUAGUGGGAUAAUUUUUGCUCUAAAUAUCUUAUAUAGCUUGACUAUGUGCGUUAUCUGUUUGUAACUGAUAAGUCCCUUAAAUAUAAAUAAUAAAUAAUUAUCUAGGUCUGAACUGGACUAGAAUCCUGGCUGGAAUAAGAUCGAAAAAAGGUUACAUUUUUGAAAGAGAAAUGUUUGUAGGCUUAAUUUCUUCAGGCAAUUUGAGUAUGCUUUUUCCAUUUCAGCCUAGAAUUAGAUCUGUAUUUACAGAAUGUUAGAGUUGAAAGCUCUUAUAGAUGGCCUUUGAAAAACACAUUCUUUUGUGGUAGAGAUAGAGAAAUUAGAAUGAAAAAAAAAUUAAGUUACUUCGCUUUUUGAGAGAAAAAAAUGUCUAAAAAGCUUUGAAUGUUGAAGGUAGAGUUUUACACCUAGUAAAAUCUAAUGCUCUCAUUCUCUAGAUGGUUUUCAGUACUUUAAAAAGCUGGGAGAUGUAUUUGUGAAAUUAAAGAGACUUAUGGGAGGUGUAUGCGUUUUUUUAGGAUGGAAAAACAGCCUUCAAAUAUAGCUAGUUGGAAGCACAGUUAGAUAUGUGAUAUGGAGAAUCACAUCGCUUCUGUGAUAUGGAGAAUGAUGGCCCUGCUGCCCUGACUGAAAUAUUUCCCUUUUUACCUAUUACACAGCUUGAAUUUCCACCAUUAAAGAUACAUUAAAAUCUUGAGGAUUUAUUUUGUUAAGUAACCUCUUAGUAAAAUGAAAAUUCAGAUGGGGACAUCUGAACUAAGACUGUAUUAUCUAAGAAUUUCUAGGAAGAGUUUCUAAAAUUAUGGCAUAGAAAUCACUAUGUUGGAUUUUUUUAAAGAUUUUAUUUAUUUAUUCAUGAGAAACAGAGAGAGAAAGGCAGACAUAGACACAUGGAGCCCCAUGAUCCUGGAUCCUGGGAUCAUGCCCUGAGCUGAAGGCAGAUGCUCAACCACUGAGCCACCCAGGCGUCCCAACUAUGUUGGAUUCUUGAAGAACUUAUUAGAAAUGCAAACUCCAUAGCCCAGUGCAGGAUCCACUGAAAUUGUCUCCGAGCUAUAGACUCUUUAAAUCUUCUAUUUUUCUCUAUUUACCUGUCUUUAGAAGCCCUAGAUCUGCAUCAUAAGCUCCUCAAGUUAGACAUCUGUAUGUCAGACUUUGAGAACCACUCAUGCCGGUGGUUAAUGCACAGAAAUGAAUGAAAAGGUGUCACUGAGGGUGCAAAGGAGGACCAUUGCCUCCUUGGUGGUCCUGUUUGGAUGCUGAGUAUCACAUUUAUUAUCAUCAGUGGUGUUUAAAAAGUUUGUAAUAAGCCAAAUCUGUGCAGUCCUAUUUCUACUCAGAAUUUUAAAGCAAGUGAUAUUACUUCAGUUUAAUUUGUGUUUUGGCUGAUAGUUCAAAGACUGUGUACCUGAUAGUUUUUGAAGUUUCAACUGGUUUGUCUGCCAUGAUAAUACAAAUAGGUUCAGGAAUUGUUUUUGCAGAUACCUAAUAUAUCCAUUUGAAGCACAUAGUUUUCACCUGAGGCAAAGACUCUAUAGAGCUAUCAUUAUACCUCUUGACCUAAUUUUGUUUUUUCCCACUGUUCUCCCAUAGUUCUCCUCUAUUAGAAUGCUUGGAAUCUACAAUUUACUUUCUUUGAGCAAGCCUUGAUUUUGAACAAGCUUCAUAAAUAGCUUCUCCUUUUAAAAAAUCUCUCACCCUCGAAUUUAACACCCUAUUCUCCUAAAUCCAUGCUGCUGUGAGGAUUUAAUUAGAUAAUUUACCUGAAAACAUUCUAUGAAUUGUAUCAUACAAAUGCCAACUACUGUUACUGUUUAAGACCCUGAAAAUUCCUGAUACUUCUUCUGGUCCUGUUGCAGUCAUUCCUUCUAUCAUUUCUCUCUCAGAACUGUGGUCUCAAUUAUACUUAGUUAACAAAAGUAUCAGGGUGAUACUAGCCCCAUGAAAUGAAUUUAGAAGUAUUCCCUCUUUUUUUUUUAAAGAAAGUUUGAAAAGGACUGGUAUUAAUGUUUCUUUGUGUGUUUGGUGGAAUUCAUUAGUGAAACCAUCCUGGACUUUUGUUUGUUGGCAAGUUUUAAUUACUAAUGUAGUCUUCUUACAAGUAGUUAAGUCUGUACAUAUUCUAUUUCUUCUUGAUUCAGUCUUGGAAGGUUGUAUGUUUCUAGUAAUUUAUCCAUAUCUUCUAGUUUGUCAAAUUUCUUGGCAUAACAAAUUCAAUUAUUUUAAAUAAAAUUUCAUCUCUGGUACUAAUCAGUAAGAUCCAUUUCCAUGGGCAAAAUUUGGAUUAGUUAGGUACAACUAAUAAUUUUUUUAGGAAAGAUACAGAAGGCAUAUGUGCAUAUAGGGGAUGCAGGGGAGGGGCAGAGAGAGAAUCUAAGCAGGCUCCAUGCCCAGCCCAGAGCCCCACACAGGGCUUAGUCUCAUGACCCUGAGUUCAUGACCUGAGCUGAGGUCAUGACCUGAACCGAAAUCAAGAGUCUGGCACUUAACCAACUGAGCCACAGAGGGGCCCCAGUACAACUAAUAAUUUUUAAUCAUCUAGUAUAUGCAAUGAUCUGGACAUUCUGGAGAAGCAAUGAGAAAUUAAAAUGUAGUUCUCAAAAUUGUACAGAUUUUCAAAAAGAAAACAAGAAAUACAAACAACUAUAAUGCAAGUUACUAUAUAAUCAGUGCCAGUAUUGAUAUAAAAACUGCCAAGAGUGGGAGUUUUUAUGGGAAAAGUAAAAGAUGCAGUUUAAAAGAUUCACAGAUGCCUCCACAAGGACCUUGAAAAAUGGCUGGAUUUACAGAAACUUGUCUCAGAAAGAGUUUGACUUGAAUACAAGGUAGAAAUAAUUUCUUAAGUAUAUUUUAGCUGGAAAAUGUUGAGAUUUGAAACCAGGAAAAAUUUUGAGUAACUUUCUCGUUUGUCAUCUUUUAUUAAAAAAAAAUACAUGUCACUCGAUCAGAAAGCCUACAUUUAAGAAUAUUAUAUUUAUGUUCUAUGUCCCAUUGGAUUUUUCUACAGUGGGCAAUAAUUGAGUAAUCAUUCUGAAUCUGUUGAUCUCAUCUGCUUUAUUUAUAAUUUAUCUCAGAGCAUAGAACAAGGUAUCCAUCAUGUAUCCUUUUCUUUAGGAAAUAUGGCAUCUUCAAGUAUUAGAUUUUUGAAAAUAUAACUGAGUUAUGUUUAAACUGAUGCACUUUUAUUUUUAAAAGGGAGUCACCUGCCUAACAAUCAUUCUAUGUGCUUUGCAUAGAAGAGAACCUAUUCAUACAGAAAUCUGUAUUUGUCUCAUGAGAAAAUCAACUCCCGAAUAUCAUAUCCUUCUCAGAGCAAAUAGGGUAAUUUCAGUUUCUUCCCUGCACUAUGAAUGAUUCUUUUAUUUUCCUUCCUCACAUACAUAAGGAAAACCUGUAGUUCUGAAGCUGGUUUCAAUAGCAGAUGAGGCAAGAGUGUUACUGUGACUCCACUUUCAGUUUAAGAGUAGCCCUGGGAGUAGAGGUCAUUGACCCACAUCAGAGCAGUUGACUGAAUCGACUUCGUCCUUAUUUAAGGUCCAUACAGAGAUCCAGCAGCCUCUCAGGUGGGACCGGCUGCAUGGACGUGCACCUGUUGCAGUCACACAGGCCCUGGACUUAGAGGGCCCUGUGCUUCUUUCAGUGUUCUACCCUCAUCAUAUUGAGAUUCUUAAUAAUUUUUGAACAAGGAACAUGCCCCCCACCCCCUCCCCCCCACCCCUGUCAUGUUAUGGGUCCAGCAGAUUAUGUAACCAGUCGACCUUUACUGUGGAGGCAUCUCAAAAUAGGAAGAAAAGCAUAAACAAGUGCUGUCAUUUUUUAAAAAAAGAGUUUAUUUAUUUAUUCAUUUAUUUACUUGUUUAUUGAGCAAGCAAGAGUAGGGGGAGGGGCAGAUGGAGAGGGAAAGAGAAUCUCCAGCAGACUGCCCGCUGACCAUGGAGCCUGACUCAGGGUUCUCUCUCACAAUCCUGAGAUCAUGACCUGAGCCAAAACCAAGAGUCAGAUGUUUAACCUACUAAGCCACCCAAGCACCACCCCCUCAACGUGAGGAAAAAAAUUAGCAGAUUUUUGGAGUACCACUCAGUUGGAACACCAGAUUUUCCCCAGAACAUUGUUAUUCAAAGAAAAGUUUGUUUGAAAUAGUCAAGGAAGAUAUAGGUAGGUUUGGUUUUUAAAAAUCAAUUCAGCAAUUGCUUUUGGCAACCUGAAUGAAAACUAUUCACUGUAUGAAACCAAGACCAUUUUCUCAGACUAACUCCAAAGUCCCUCUUCUCCUGUUUGUUUACUUCUCUUCAAUGACACACGCAGGCAGGCACCCCCAUCCUGGGCUUUCUUAGUAUGUGCUGCCAGUGAGACAGAGUGCUGUGGAUUGAGCCUCUGCCCAGCUUGCUGAGCUCCUCUCUGCACCCCCAGGACCCUGCUAAAUCGCAUCCAUAAUUUCAAUGAAGAAAUAAUGAAGAGAGACCCCAGGUGACUCCUAAAAACUGCUCACAAAGCACCACAUUCCCAGACCAGAUGCAAAAGGACUUGGACGAGUCAGGUAGCAAAGAGCUGCAAAAAUGAACAUAACAUCCCUAUAGAGGAUCAGAUUUUUAUACCAUAAGCAUGCUGCAAAAAUGAAUGCUGCAAAAAUGAAUUCCUUCCCCAAAUCGAAACUUUGGAUAGGGGUGGUUUUUAGAAACUGCCAUAUCUUCCCACAACUCAAUUUGUCUCUCUGUCGAAUGAAUGUAAUGAAAAGAUGAAUUCAGUUUUUAGAAAAGAAAAGUCUUUCUUGUGUCUGAAUUGUAGGGAUAAUUAAAGUAAAAGCCUGUUUCCUUUCCGUGUGUUGUAGGAGUGUGUGCUACUCUCCUUGCUCAUUGCUUCAUUUGAUUGGCAUUUGAGCAGAUGCUUCUCCCCUUAGCCAGGGGAUGGUAGGAUAAAGUAGAUGGGACCCAUAGAGGAAUCUGUUCUAAAAUGAAAACAUAUCAGAGGCUGAAGAACAGGAGUGCUAAUUCAGAGCAGACCUGAGCACUGAUUUUGGAAAUGUUGAAGGUUGAAAGUUGUUCUGUACUGUAAAUUUGCCCAGUUACAGGUGUGACGCACACUUCUGAUGGAUGCCUUGUUAUCAGGUGCAUUUGUUUCAGCGUAUUUUUGAAGGGCUACAAAAAUGCUUAUGGUAUAAAAAUAUGAUCCUCUAUAGGGAUGUUAUGUUCUUUCAAUAAUGGUUAUUAGAAGCCAGAAGUGACUCCUCAAGGAAGGCUCUCAAAUAAUUUGGUUGCAUCUGCUGAAAUAAAAUAAUACAGAAUAAAUUUACUUUUGUCAUGAACCACAGUUCAUUUCCAGCAAAUAUGUAUCACUUGUAAAGGUUGAAUUAUGUUCAAAUAUUUUCUGUCCGCCGCUCCUUCCACAUUUUAAUUUAAUUCCUACUCCUCUGUGGCAAAUUCACAUAUUUGGCUAAAAGCAAAUAAAGCUUAAAUUAACUGUAGAAAUAUUUCUAAAACCUUAAGCAGGUGUCUAGGAAUAAUAAUAUUCUAAUGGGUGGAAGUGUUGCCUCACUCAGCAUACAUUGUUAGAGUCUGCUCUGUAUGUGUGCAGAGACACAGCCCCUGUCUUUCAGGAAUUCAAGCACUGGGUCUUAGAUGCAAGCCCAAGUUCUGUCUGGAGAUGGUAGAAAGAAGCCAGGAGAAGUCAGAGGAGAGUCCAUGAAGGAUGUGAUCAUAUUUUGAUGACUGAGUUAGGAGUUUGGUCAAGAAUAGGGAUGGGGAGUGGCAAGGCGAAGAAAACUAGGUGAAUCAAACUUAUUCCAAAUGUUAUCUCUUUGUAGAUAUUUUACUAUUAAAGUAGAGAUCAAGGAGAAGAAAUAAUUUAGUGAUAAGCUCUAGAAGUUGAAAUUUGGCAUUCUUAACAGUGGGAUAAGCAUAAAAUCUUUGCUAGUCAUUUAUAGCUUUGGUAAUCUGAAUUUUAAAUGGUGCAAAGACUUAAAAGAAAUUGGAUUAUAUGUUAGGUGGGGUAUUUAAGCUACUAACUAACAAGCCUGAACUUGCCUUGGGGAGAGACAAAGUUUACUGUUGAUAUGACAUGCAGUAAUGUUUCAUGAGUGUAGUCAAAAAGUGACCUUGACAUGAUAACAAAUUAGUGGGUGUUUGCUGGUUUUGCAGAAAAUGGAAUCUUUUUUCUUUAAAUGAAUAUUUUAGAGCUAUCCUAUACCUUCCAAAAAUUGUAUUAGAAAUUCCAUGUAUUUCAGCACAUUUUUAGAUACUGUGGCUUGCUAGUAAUAUAAUCUAUAACAUUGGCUGGGAAAAUUUUAGAGAUUCUUCUGUGUCAGUUCGGCUUAGAGACCUGUCUGAAUUUGUUCUCAAGGAGAGGAUAAACCAGUGCGGGUGCUUUCUGUAAAUGCUGCAAAUGUACACUAGAUUCCUAGGGAUCAGUGGCAGAUUGGUAAAAAAAGGAAAGCCUAGAAGUCAAACUCCAGGCUUCUUAUCUGGAUUUUUAUCUGUUUUUUUGUUUUAUUUUCCUCUGUGAUAUCUGUGUUAGUUUGCUACAGCUCCCAUAACAAAGUACCACAGACUGGGUGGCUUAAACAACACAUUUUAUUUUCUUACGGUUGUGGAGGCUAGAAGUCCAAUAUCAGUGUGUGAACAGGGUUUGUUUUAUUUUUGUUGUUGUUGUUCUUUUUGUUUUUGUUUUUUUGUUUUUUCUGAGGGUCUCUCCUCUUGGCUUUAAAUGGCCAUCAUCCUUCUGUGUCUUCAUGUAGUCUUUCUUCUGGGUGUGUUUGUGCCAUGAUCUCUUCUUCUUAGAGGGAUACCAGUUAUUUGAAUAAGGGCCCACCCUAAUAACCUCAUUUAUUUCUUUGAAGGCUCCAUCUUCAAAUGCAUUCAUAUUCUGAGAUGCUGUGGCCCAGGGCUCCAAUAUGAAUUUGAUGGGGGACACAUUCAACCAAUAAAGAAUCCUCUAUGUGUAGGGCAAGUAUAAGACAUAUGGCAGCACUCAAUAAGUGAAUGAAUGUUUGAAAGAAUAAUUAGAAGCUAAUAUCAGAAGCUUACUUGGAUUAUAAACACAACUAUGGCAAGGAAAUACAUAUUACAUGGGCAUUCAGUUCUGUACUCCCUGGAGGAAGAGAAUAGAAUGAGGAGAAGGUAGUAGAAAAGACGAGGCAGUUCAGAAAGAAGUUGGGCAUAAGUCAAGAAAGUCUAUUCAUACUAGAUGUCUUAGUCUUGAUACUAAACCGUAACUUGGAAGGAAACAAAAUACUGUAGAGAAAAGCACCUGCUCCCCCAGAGGGUCCAUCCUCCUGCAUAUUCUGCCUGCAAAGCUAAUUAUAGCUGAGGCGGUAUUAUGCAUUUCCACAUUGUUUUCCUUCUGGGCAUGCUAAAAGACCACAUUUCUCCAUUGCCCUGGCAUAUAUAUGGACUAUAUGACUGAGUUCUAGCCAAGGGAAUAGAAAUGGAAGUAAUAAUACUUAGAAACCUGGCCAAAAACCAUCCAUGCAGUUAUCCUUGUGUGCAAGCUCACUGUCUCUCUUUUUCUUACCUGUAUAUAUGCCAGAAAGCAAAGAAUAACAAAAUGGUGAACCGUAUACUAGAAGGAGGUCAGAUCCCAGAGUCACUCCUUGGAGAAGAGCUGCUCAGGAGGGAUUUUGGACCAGGAACUCCACUUCAGACUUUACAUGAUCAAGAAACAAACCUUUAUAAUGUCAAGUUGCUGAGAUUUGAGGGUUGUUUAUUAAUCAUAAAUUCAUCCUAAUACAGAAAUUGGUACUUUGGAAUGAUGUUCCACAAUAAUAUAAAUAUUUUGCAUCCACUUAGUGGUCCAGGGGACAUAGUAUGGAAGCUGAUAACCAAGGCUGAGAGAUGGUCAUCGUAUUAGUGAGGGGCAAAACAUUGCCCUCCAUUUGGGAGGCAGAAAAGGUUACCAACAUCUCUAGAAGGUUGAAAAACAGAAGUUUAUUGAUCUAUGUUGGUUCUGAUUAGCUGUAUUUGGGAAGAAAAUGAAAAGAAAGAGGUGAACUAGGAAAAUCAUUUCUGGUUUGUGGCAAAAAUGAUUAAGGAUAAAGUAUAGAAAUUCGAGGCUCUACACGUUUGGAAAAAUCAGCUGAUUCUAGAUCUUAAGCAGUUAGAGAUCAAAUUACAUGCCUCAAGAGCAACAGUCAGAUUAAGGGUUUAUGUGUGGCCUUCCCACCCAAGUGUGAUAGCCUUUAGUUGGCUUCAAGCAAGUUAAAUUAUUAGAAAGUGGCACAGGGAAAGAAUGGAGAGAGUUGGGUCCCUAACUUUUCUUGAAUAGCUAAAUAUACAGUCCCCAACAGGGGAUACUCAUCAAGACAACCUUACCUUUUGGCAAAGGAAAUGCUGGACCAGGAGAGUCCCUCAAAGGUUAAAAGUGGGGUUAGGGAGAACAAAGGAGAAGAGAGUUACUUCCAAA
rnacentral:lncRNA from 1 species